rnacentral:rRNA from 1 species
UAGCGGCGAGCGAAGCGGGAAGAGCUCAAAUUUGAAAGCUGGCGUCCUUCGGGCGUCCGCAUUGUAAUCUAUAGAGGCGUUUUCUGUGCUGGACCGUGUCCAAGUCCCUUGGAACAGGGUAUCAAAGAGGGUGACAAUCCCGUACUUGACACGACAACCAGUGCUCUGUGAUACGUCUUCUACGAGUCGAGUUGUUUGGGAAUGCAGCUCAAAAUGGGUGGUGAAUUCCAUCUAAAGCUAAAUAUUGGCGAGAGACCGAUAGCGAACAAGUACCGUGAGGGAAAGAUGAAAAGCACUUUGGAAAGAGAGUUAAACAGUAUGUGAAAUUGUUGAAAGGGAAACGAUGGAGGUCAGUCGUGUCUGUGGGAUUCAGCCGUCUCUGGCGGUGUACUUCCCACAGACGGGUCAACAUCAGUUUUGGUCGGCGGAUAAAGGCAGGAGGAAGGUGGCACCCCCGGGUGUGUUAUAGCCUCUUGUUGCAUACGCUGGCCGAGACUGAGGAAUGCAGCUC